GAUGAACGCUGGCGGCGUGCCUAAUACAUGCAAGUCGAGCGAACGGACGAGAAGCUUGCUUCUCUAAUGUUAGCGGCGGACGGGUGAGUAACACGUGGAUAACCUACCUAUAAGACUGGGAUAACUUCGGGAAACCGUAGCUAAUACCGGAUAAUAUUUUGAACCGCAUGGUUCAAAAGUGAAAGACGGUCUUGCUGUCACUUAUAGAUGGAUCCGCGCUGCAUUAGCUAGUUGGUAAGGUAACGGCUUACCAAGGCAACGAUGCAUAGCCGACCUGAGAGGGUGGUCGGCCACCCUGGAACUGAGACACGGUCCAGACUCCUACGGGAGGCAGCAGUAGGGAAUCUUCCGCAAUGGGCGAGAGCCUGACGGAGCAACGCCGCGUGAGUGAUGAAGGUCUUCGGAUCGUAAAACUCUGUUAUUAGGGAAGAACAUAUGUGUAAGUAACUGUGCACAUCUUGACGGUACCUAAUCAGAAAGCCACGGCUAACUACGUG
rnacentral:rRNA from 1 species